AGAGUUUGAUUCUGGCUCAGAACGAACGCUGGCAGCGUGGAUUAGGCAUGCAAGUCGAACGGGAAGCCGUUAAACAAUCUUCGGAGAGUGAUGCGGUGGAUAGUGGCGGAAGGGUGAGUAACACGUGGGCAAUCUGCCCCCUAGUUGGGGACAACCUCGGGAAACCGGGGCUAAUACCGAAUACGAUCCUCAGUCGCAUGGCUGGGUGAUUAAAGAUGGGGAUUCCUCGGAACCUGUCGCUUGGGGAGGAGCCCGCGUCCCAUCAGCUUGUUGGUAGGGUAACGGCCUACCAAGGCUUACGGGUAGCUGGUCUGAGAGGAUGAUCAGCCACACUGGGACUGAGACACUGCCCAGACUCCUACGGGAGGCUGCAGUCGAGGAUCAUUCGCAAUGCGCGAAAGCGUGACGAUGCGACGCUGCGUGGAGGAUGAAGGCCUUAGGGUCGUAAACUCCUGUCAUUUGGGACAAACGACAGGUGGGUUAAUACCCUGCCUGUGUGAUGGUACCGAAAGAGGAAGCCACGGCUAACUCUGUGCCAGCAGCCGCGGUAAUACAGAGGUGGCGAGCGUUGUUCGGAUUUACUGGGCGUAAAGCGUGUGUAGGUGGCGUUGUAUGUCGGGUGUGAAAGCCCACGGCUCAACCGUGGAAUUGCAUUCGAAACUGCAAUGCUAGAGUGCAGGAGGGGAGAGCGGAAUUCUUGGUGUAGCGGUGAAAUGCGUUGAUAUCAAGAGGAACACCGGUGGCGAAGGCGGCUCUCUGGAAUGUUACUGACACUGAGACACGAAAGUCGGGGGAGCAAACAGGAUUAGAUACCCUGGUAGUCCCGACCGUAGACGGUGUGCACUUGGUGUGGGGGGUAUUGACCCCCCCCGUGCCGGAGCUAACGCGUUAAGUGCACCGCCUGGGGAGUACGGCCGCAAGGCUAAAACUCAAAGAAAUUGACGGGGGCCCGCACAAGCGGAGGAGCAUGUGGCUUAAUUCGAUGCAACGCGAAGAACCUUACCAGGGCUUGACAUGGGGACCCUUCGGGGGUGGUAGCGAAAGUUACCUUUACCAUCACAGGUGCUGCAUGGCUGUCGUCAGUUCGUGCCGUGAGGUGUUGGGUUAAGUCCCGCAACGAACGCAACCCUUAUGUUUAGUUGCCACCGGAGGUGAUGAGCCUUCGAGCACUCUAGACAGACUGCCCGUACAAGCGGGAGGAAGGUGGGGAUGACGUCAAGUCAGUAUGGCCCUUACGCCCUGGGCUGCACACGUGCUACAAUGGCCGGUACAGAGGGACGCAAUAUCGCGAGGUGGAGCAAAUCCCCAAAACCGGCCUCAGUUCGGAUUGGAGUCUGAAACUCGACUCCAUGAAGUUGGAUUCGCUAGUAACGGCGUAUCAGCUACGGCGCCGUGAAUACGUUCCCGGGCCUUGUACACACCGCCCGUCACAUCAUGAAAGCCGUCUGCACCCGAAGUCAUUGAGCCAACCCGCAAGGGAGGCAGGUGCCGAAGGUGUGGGUGGUGAUUGGGAUGAAGUCGUAACAAGGUA
rnacentral:rRNA from 1 species